CCUACGGGAGGCAGCAGUAAGGAAUAUUGGUCAAUGGACGCAAGUCUGAACCAGCCAUGCCGCGUGCAGGAUGACGGCCCUCUGGGUUGUAAACUGCUUUUGUACGGGAAGAAACCUCUCUACGUGUAGAGAGCUGACGGUACCGUAAGAAUAAGGACCGGCUAACUUCGUGCCAGCAGCCGCGGUAAUACGAAGGGUCCAAGCGUUAUCCGGAUUUAUUGGGUUUAAAGGGUGCGUAGGCGGCUUAUUAAGUCAGUGGUGAAAGACUUCAGCUUAACUGAAGAACUGCCAUUGAUACUGAUGAGCUUGAAUAUACUUGAGGUGGGCGGAAUGUGUCAUGUAGCGGUGAAAUGCUUAGAUAUGACACAGAACACCGAUUGCGAAGGCAGCUCGCUAAAGUAUGAUUGACGCUGAGGCACGAAAGCGUGGGGAGCAAACAGGAUUAGAUACCCUGGUAGUCCACGCCCUAAACGUUGAUAACUCGAUGUGUGCGAUAUACAGUACGCGUCCAAGCGAAAGCAUAAGUUAUCACCUGGGAAGUACGUCGCAAGAUUGAAACCUNAANAGAUAGAGNGNGAGAGNGCGAGGAGACGACGAGGGAGAGG
rnacentral:rRNA from 1 species